rnacentral:rRNA from 1 species
AUUGAACGCUGGCGGCAGGCCUAACACAUGCAAGUCGAGCGGAUGAAGGGAGCUUGCUCCUGGAUUCAGCGGCGGACGGGUGAGUAAUGCCUAGGAAUCUGCCUGGUAGUGGGGGAUAACGUCCGGAAACGGGCGCUAAUACCGCAUACGUCCUGAGGGAGAAAGUGGGGGAUCUUCGGACCUCACGCUAUCAGAUGAGCCUAGGUCGGAUUAGCUAGUUGGUGGGGUAAAGGCCUACCAAGGCGACGAUCCGUAACUGGUCUGAGAGGAUGAUCAGUCACACUGGAACUGAGACACGGUCCAGACUCCUACGGGAGGCAGCAGUGGGGUAUAUUGGACAAAGGGCGAAAGCCUGAUCCAGCCAUGCCGCGUGUGUGAAGAAGGUCUUCGGAUUGUAAAGCACUUUAAGUUGGGAGGAAGGGCAGUAAGUUAAUACCUUGCUGUUUUGACGUUACCAACAGAAUAAGCACCGGCUAACUUCGUG